AUGGGCCACCUCGGCCUGGACCAAAGCCCUGUUUUCUUAUCAUUUGAUGUGUUCAAAGGAAAUGUCUCUUACCUUGAUUUACCUAAUCAAGGUCGCUCUCGCCAUCCACCGGGGGAUACUGUUAAUAUGUGCAGAGGAUACUUGCGAAUGUACCGCGGGGUGUCAGUCACCGAUGAAGGCCGUCGGCUCAAGUUUGUUCAUGUCGAUCGUGAUGACGGAAAGCUUUCCGGCGCAUCCGAUUCUGGCUACACCAUAACCUCCCACAGUUUGAAGAUAACAGAGAACGGAGGCAUGCAGUGGGUCAUGGAUGCUUUUAUGCGAUCAGAUCAAGUGUUGCCUUCUCUUCGCACUGACUAUGACUUCAAUAUUCUGAAAUUCCCUCUUGUGAGUAUGGAGGAUCCACAUGUGAUGCAUUUUUUGUACUCUGACUCUGAGCGCACGAAUGGUGGCUAUGACAAGUUUUCGGUGGUUACUGUUGAUAUGAAUGCCAAGGCACUGCUGUCAACUCAUCCGUAUAUGAGACGCGAAGACCUUUUUGGAGAAGACGCCGACAUGUAUGAAGUCAAGUGUUGUAAUCUCAUGAGUUUUCUUGCCGUCAAGCUCCCCAUGUGUGUCUCCAGGUAUUUGCAUCUCACCUAA
rnacentral:rRNA from 1 species